GAGACCUGGUUUGAGGCUGGAAGCAUGCAAGGGGCAGAGCAUGCAUGACCUUGUUGACUCAGCAUCACUAUCAUAAUUUUUCAGGUGAACAAACUAAUGCUCAGAAAGGUGAAUGUGAAUUUCUCCAAGUUCCUUUGGUUGCAAGCAACAGAAACCAAAUAAAAAAUUCCAUUUAACAGAAGAGGAAACUGAGACCAGAGAAAAUAAGAAAUUUGCUUAAGAUUAUUCUGAUCUUGGGCAGAAAUGGGCUGUUCUUAAAGUCAGGUUUCUGGCCAACUCGAAGUAAAUAAUUCAAAAGGCUUUGAGAUCAGGAAGAAAAAUCACUAACUCUGUGGACGUGGGUAAGUUUCCUAACCUUUCUGUUGAUUCCAUCUUCUCAUCUUUAACACAGAGAUAAUAAUACCUGACCUUUCCCAAGUCACAGGUGG
rnacentral:lncRNA from 13 species